GGAGAAGUGUCAGAGUGGUCGAUCGUGUUUCCUUGCUAAGGAAAUAGGGAGUUAAAUCCCUCGAGGGUUCGAAUCCCUCCUUCUCCG
rnacentral:tRNA from 1 species